CAGUACAGUCCAACACCACUCUUGAGUUUUCUCACACUCAGAUACCAGGUAAAACUUUCUUUAUCUUUUCUUUAACUUUCUCUUCAUUUUCUUUCUAUAGAAGAAGAAUGACCACCGUGGGAAAUGAGUCCUUCAACAGGUAUUGGGUUUGAAACCACACUUGAGCAACUCAGCCACCGCAUAAAAAAAGAACUCAUGAAAUUCGAA
rnacentral:lncRNA from 1 species